AGUGGGUUCAGUCUAAUUCUUCUUCAAGUAUGAAACGCGACGCAUUUUCAAACGAAUAUUUCGAGUAGGUCGUGAAAUCGGCUCAUUUUGCAUCAUCCCACGAGUCGAUCACUGAAGGUGCUCGUUAGUUCCUCCUAGCUAUAUGCUCGUAGUAGUACGAGAAGGUAGUCAUUAGGGGAUGCAAUCUCGUGGGUAAGUUUCCAUGACAAUAUGAGGGGCUUGCGCAAAUUUAGUAGCUCUGUUUAGUGUACAGGGGUAUUACACGAUGUCGUAUCUAGACUGGCGAUCAGAUCGUUGAAAACGCUUGCGAACCAAAUUGUCUCUCGUUCGCUCAUCAUUAGCAUGAACGUUUCGACACACACAUCCAAUUUUUGUACGACAAAGAUUAAUGAGAUAAGGGGUUAAAAAGGGCUCUUCUUCAAUACAAUCUUGUCUCAUCUUAAUUGCCUCCUGGCAUCUCACGUUUAUUGCAGGUUAUGUGUAUGUGAAUCCAAUUCUCGUAACUUGAGAGAGCGGUAAGACCAAGAAGCCAUACUUUGUUGAAGGGAUCAAGACAAAACUAGAUUCAGUGUUUUGCAACUCAAGUAAUUCGGGAAAUUCAGUCAUACUUUCGAGGAGAGAUGUACCAAUCCAUUGAUGAAUGGUUUAACAUUGAAUCAAUCCAAUCCGCGCCUCAAUGGCAUCAAUUAUUUACCAGAAAAGGCCUGUUUAUGUGUUCCGAGUGUCUCUCUCUCUUUUCGGCAUUUACCCCUGUGGUCGCGAUCUCAAGCAUUGACGAACAAUGAGAAAACAGAGACAUCACCACCCUCCAUCAAGACACAAAAGAACCUGACAUACUUCUUCGUGGCUUGGCUAUGUGUUAUGUAGUAGCGAAUGUAUCCUACCUCAGUGGCCUCUUCGUGGAGUUUCUUGUUCUCCUCCUGCAUUUCCUGGAUCUUUCGCUGGAGGAGAUCCACACUGACAUUGCGGAUCUCGAGGGGCGAUGCCUCGUCCA